rnacentral:rRNA from 1 species
UACAGAGGGUGCGAGCGUUAAUCGGAAUACUGGGCGUAAAGCGCGCGUAGGCGGCUUUGCAAGUCGGGUGUGAAAUCCCCCAGGCUUAACCUGGGGAACUGCAUUCGAGACUGCAUUGCUAGAGUAUGGGAGAGGGAAGUGGAAUUUCCGGUGUAGCGGUGAAAUGCGUAGAUAUUGGGAGGAAUACCGGUGGCGAAGGCGGCUCCCUGGACCGGUACUGACGCUGAUGCGCGAAAGCGUGGGGAGCAAACAGG